rnacentral:tRNA from 1 species
GCCCGGAUAGCUCAAUUGGCAGAGCACCUGUCUUGUAAACAGGUGGUUCGGGGUUCGAGUCCCUGUCUGGGCC